rnacentral:rRNA from 1 species
UGGGGAAUAUUGGACAAUGGGGGAAACCCUGAUCCAGCCAUGCCGCGUGAGUGACGAAGGCCCUAGGGUUGUAAAGCUCUUUUGGCGGGGACGAUAAUGACGGUACCCGCAGAAUAAGCUCCGGCUAACUUCGUGCCAGCAGCCGCGGUAAUACGAAGGGAGCUAGCGUUGUUCGGAAUUACUGGGCGUAAAGCGCACGUAGGCGGAUAUGUAAGUCAGGGGUGAAAUCCCGGGGCUCAACCUCGGAACUGCCUUUGAUACUGCAUAUCUUGAGUCCGGAAGAGGUGAGUGGAAUUCCUAGUGUAGAGGUGAAAUUCAUAGAUAUUAGGAAGAACACCAGUGGCGAAGGCGGCUCACUGGUCCGGUACUGACGCUGAGGUGCGAAAGCGUGGGGAGCAAACAGGAUUAGAUACCCCCGUAGUCC